UACGUAGGGGGCAAGCGUUGUCCGGAAUCAUUGGGCGUAAAGAGCGUGUAGGCGGACCUGCAAGUCGGGGGUGAAAGCCCGAGGCUCAACCUCGGAACUGCCUUCGAUACUGCGGGUCUCGAGUCCGGGAGAGGUGAGUGGAAUUCCUAGUGUAGAGGUGAAAUUCGUAGAUAUUAGGAAGAACACCAGUGGCGAAGGCGGCUCACUGGCUCGGUACUGACGCUGAGGCGCGAAAGCGUGGGGAGCAAACAGG
rnacentral:rRNA from 1 species